rnacentral:rRNA from 1 species
GGACUACCGGGGUUUCUAAUCCCGAUCGAUACCCAUGCCUUCGUACCUUAGUGUCAGUCUUCAAUAGUAACAUGCUUUCGCCGCUUCGCAACCCUUCAAGUAUCUAGGUAUUGUUACACUCCACUUGCUGUAUUUGUUACUUCUUUUGACUCUAGUAUAGUAAUAUCAAUUACACUAUUAAAGCGUUUUUUACUCACAGAUUAAACUAUACCACCUACGUACCCUUUAGACCCAUUAAUGACGAGUAACGCUUGCCUCGCACGUAUUACCGCGGCUGCUGGCAC